rnacentral:lncRNA from 8 species
AUGCUAUACCGCCCAGCCCUAAGUAAGACAGAGCAAGGAUAUCUGUUUUGGUACUACUUACCCUUCAUUGAACCAGUCUGUGUCCGAGUGUCCAUGGGUUCUUGUCCAUCUUUGAAGUUGAACGACUCUGGCAGCACACUGAACCUCAGAACACUGUUCUCCUCAAGAGGCAAAAGAGCAGGGCUCCUGAUCUUAUUUGUACUUUUUUCCACUGUAUCAGAGACAUGGGCAAGCUGACAUGUCAUGCUCCAAUGUACAACUAGCAGCCUCGGCGAGUGCCACCACCACUACAACAACCCGAAGAAACCCAAUGUUGACCAUGCCAGAUCUGAAGGAGUUGGAGGAUGUGAGGAGACCGGUGAAACUGCUCAACAUCAGUGACAGUGUGUUGAACGUUGUUUCCUUUUAAUUACAGUACUACUACUACUACUACUAUUAUUUGCAUUGGGCUAACCCUGUCUCUCACCCUGCAGGUAUACGGACCUUGAAGAGGAUGAUAGUUGAUUUGGAAAAGUCUUGGCUGUCUGCUGGACCUAACCUGAACACACACAUCCUGAUACCACUGUUCAUUACGAUGGCAACUCUGAUCAUGAAUAAUCUACUCAUGUACUGACUUUUUAUGUUGCCUAUAGUGUGUCUUGUGUAGUGCAAGCAAUUAUUUACCUAUACUCUUGGUAUUGUGUAUUUACCACUGACAUAUAGGAUGCAUGUGAUGCCUUUGGUAUUACAUCGUUUAUUGACAAUAUACCUGCCUGUACAUCUAUUGUGACACUACAAUGAUACCAUAUUAAUCAUGAAUGUAUAAUCAUAACUGUUUAAGGAUAUUCAAUAUACAUUUAAAAGAAACAUCAGAAUAAACAUGUUAAAGACUCAUCACACCCUGUCCAGCUAGUGUUUUGUCUUCACUUCGCACACUCUGUACUUUUAUUUCUCUGUAUCUGGCCUCUGACUAUAUCUUGGUCUUCCUUGGUCAUAUCGGCAGCACGCAUCCAUUCUCUGUCCUGAAGCAGUUCAUGAGCCAACAUUCUCUGUGUCACGGACAGUGAGCAAUCUGAAGACUAUCCUUUUCACUAGUUCACACUGCAUCA